UACGGGAGGCAGCAGUGGGGAAUAUUGUCACAAUGGGCGCAAGCCUGAUGCAGCCAUGCCGCGUGUAUGAAGAAGGCCUUCGGGUUGUAAAGUACUUUCAGCAGUGAGGAAGGUGGGUAUGUUAAUAGCAUACUCAUUUGACGUUAGCUGCAGAAGAAGCACCGGCUAACUCCGUGCCAGCAGCCGCGGUAAUACGGAGGGUGCGAGCGUUAAUCGGAAUUACUGGGCGUAAAGCGCAUGCAGGUGGUUUGUUAAGUCAGAUGUGAAAGCCCGGGGCUCAACCUCGGAAUUGCAUUUGAAACUGGCAAACUAGAGUACUGUAGAGGGGGUAGAAUUUCAGGUGUAGCGGUGAAAAUGCGUAGAGAUCUGAAGGAAUACCGGUGGCGAAGGCGGCCCCCUGGACAGAUACUGACACUCAGAUGCGAAAGCGUGGGGAGCAAACAGGAUUAGAUACCCUGGUAG
rnacentral:rRNA from 1 species